AUUGAACGCUGGCGGCAGGCCUAACACAUGCAAGUCGAGCGGAUGAAGGGAGCUUGCUCCUGGAUUCAGCGGCGGACGGGUGAGUAAUGCCUAGGAAUCUGCCUGGUAGUGGGGGAUAACGUCCGGAAACGGGCGCUAAUACCGCAUACGUCCUGAGGGAGAAAGUGGGGGAUCUUCGGACCUCACGCUAUCAGAUGAGCCUAGGUCGGAUUAGCUAGUUGGUGGGGUAAAGGCCUACCAAGGCGACGAUCCGUAACUGGUCUGAGAGGAUGAUCAGUCACACUGGAACUGAGACACGGUCCAGACUCCUACGGAAGGCAGCAGUGGGAAUAUUGGACAAUGGGCGAAAGCCUGAUCCAGCCAUGCCGCGUGUGUGAAGAAGGUCUUCGGAUUGUAAAGCACUUUAAGUUGGGAGGAAGGGCAGUAAGUUAAUACCUUGCUGUUUUGACGUUACCAACAGAAUAAGCACCGGCUAACUUCGUG
rnacentral:rRNA from 1 species